AUUCCAGCUCCAAUAGCGUAUAUUAAAGUUGUUGCAGUUAAAACGCUCGUAGUCGGAUUUCGGGGCGGGCCGACCGGUCUGCCUCAAAAGAGGUACGCGCCAUCUAUCCGAGUCCAUCCUCGGGGAAAACAUGUGUGUGAUUCAGUUCAUGUGCAUGGGAUCCUCGUCAUUUACUGUGAGCAAAAUAGAGUGUUCAAAGCAGGCUUAUGCCGUUGAAUAUUUUAGCAUGGAAUAAUAAGAUAAGACCUUGGUCUAUUUUGUUGGUUUGUACUCCAAGGUAAUGAUUAAUAGGGACAGUUGGGGGUAUUCGUAUUCAAUUGUCAGAGGUGAAAUUCUUGGAUUUAUUGAAGACGAACUACUGCGAAAGCAUUUACCAAGGAUGUUUUCAUUA
rnacentral:rRNA from 1 species